GGGACAAAGCCUGCAGAGGUUUAAUCCAGUUUAGAGCAUGUAUUUUUCAGCUUUUAGUUCCCUGGGUAAGUUAUCUGAAAUGCAUCCCUUUCCUUGGAAGUGAUGAUUUAGCAAUGGAUGGGCCAGAUAUACUGAAGUCCCUUGUUCUAGAAUGGAAGUGUCACAAGAAGGAGGGAACUUGCUAGUUCUCCUGGCUGCCAAGUAGAAGUGAUGGCAGUAAGAGGACAUAACAUGCAAGCUACUACUGAAAGAAAAACAUCUAAUCCCUCUAAUUUUGCAGCCUCCAUUUUAGGAUUCUCCAGGGCUAUGCAGCAGUGAGCUGUUUGCUUCUCCAGUUUCCUUAAAGCCUUGCUCUUUAUUGUCCAGAACCCCAUGUGUCCUUGGCUGCUCCAGUACUCACCUGCCCAACCCCACUUGUCUGUUGGUCUGCAGAGGCUCGUUUCACUUCAUCAAGGAAUGGGGAAUGCCUUCUGGGUAACACCAGCCAAGAAUGCACAUUUCCAUAGCACGGAUGGCGUUCAAGAUGAUGAAGAUGUGCACUGAUGGAAUGGCAGGACAAGAGCACUGCUGCCUACAGUCUCUCUUUCACGUAAUUUUGGAAAACACAACCUGCCAACACAGCUCAGAUCCAGCUAAAGAAUACACUGCUGUCUUCAAACACAGCUGCAUUUACCAAAGUUUCACAUAGUACAAUUGGAAGUCAAAGACAGACCUCACUUUGAAUUCCUUAAAGUAAUUCUGAAGUAACAAUUGGGUUGAAAACAUUCAAAUCUUAUAUCUUAUGCCCAUAGAUAUGAAACACACACUUGAAGAAUGUCUUAUCUUGAAUCUAGCUGCUGUACCUAAGCACAUCUAGAGUUGAUCUGUAGAGCCACUGAAAUACUAAGAACGGACCACAAAAGCAGAGUAUUGGGAAAAAACUUAUUUUUGAACAAGUCUGGUUACAACAACUUCUUUCCUGGCCAUGCAAGCUCUCUCUGGGAUAUAGCUGACUUACAAGCAGAGCAGCAAGAAGUUUUUCUUGCUUCCUGACUCACCUUUCCUAUGCUAGCACAAACACCUCUGACAUUACUCAGGAUGUUCCUUAUAAUUAUCUGGAGAUGCAGAUCCACAUGAAUAAUGUAUAUGUUGA
rnacentral:lncRNA from 1 species